UGAUCUACAGCUGCGAGGUACUUUGGGUCACCUCCCAUCCGUGUCUAUUGUACCCUGUUGCUUCGGCGGGCCCGCCGCUUGUCGGCCGCCGGGGGGGCGCCUCUGCCCCCCGGGCCCGUGCCCGCCGGAGACCCCAACACGAACACUGUCUGAAAGCGUGCAGUCUGAGUUGAUUGAAUGCAAUCAGUUAAAACUUUCAACAAUGGAUCUCUUGGUUCCGGCAUCGAUGAAGAACGCAGCGAAAUGCGAUAACUAAUGUGAAUUGCAGAAUUCAGUGAAUCAUCGAGUCUUUGAACGCACAUUGCGCCCCCUGGUAUUCCGGGGGGCAUGCCUGUCCGAGCGUCAUUGCUGCCCUCAAGCCCGGCUUGUGUGUUGGGUCGCCGUCCCCCUCUCCGGGGGGACGGGCCCGAAAGGCAGCGGCGGCACCGCGUCCGAUCCUCGAGCGUAUGGGGCUUUGUCACAUGCUCUGUAGGAUUGGCCGGCGCCUGCCGACGUUUUCCAACCAUUCUUUCCAGGUUGACCUCGGAUCAGGUAGGGAUACCCGCUGAACUUAAGCAUAUCAAAAACCGGGAGGAA
rnacentral:rRNA from 1 species